GAUCCCAUCCAGCUGGUCGUCUUCCUGCCUGCCCUGUGCUGGAAGACGGGGGUGCCCCGCUGCGUUAUCAAGGGGAAGGCCGGGCCGAGGAGUCUGGCCCACAGAAAGAUCUGCACCACUGUCACCUUCACACAACUUAACUCAGAAGGUGAUGGAGCUCUGGCUAAGCUGGUGGAAGCCAUCAAGACCAAUUACAGGGACAGUGAUCUAAUUGCCAGGAUCUGUUCCGGGUAACCUGGUAUUUAAUCAAAAAUGCUAUUUUUGAAACAAAGAAUUCCCAAGUCUCCAGACUUAAGCAACUUCAGACCAGGCUUCAGACUUCUGAAAUGGCAUCCCAUUUUACUAGUGAAGAUGCUUUUUGCUCACUCUAUGUUUUUAUGCUCGGAUCCCGAAAAUCCAUUCUCCACAUAGCAGACUCGCUUAAGACACUCUUCUUAUCAGCCUUUGAAGAAGAACUAAGUGGCCAUGUUGGGAAGUUCGCAUGGGAAGAAGAUGACAGUGGUCUCUAGGAAAUGACGGCAUCCUCCAGCUGACAGUCAUCAAGAAGUUUAUACUCUCAGCCCUACAGCCACAAAGUAAUGAAUUCUGGCAACAAAACUGAGUGAACUUCAAAGUGGAUGCUUCCUAGUCAAGCCUUCAGAUUAGCACUAAUCUAACAUCUACCAGCAAUCCUCCUCUUUUUGCUGAGGAAGACUGGUCCUGAGGUAAUAUCCAUGUCCAUCUUCCUCUACUUUAUAUGUGGGAUGCUUGCCACAGCAUGGCUUGCCAAGGGCUGCCUAGGUCCGCACCCGGGAUCUGAACCAGCGAACCCCAGGCUGCUGAAGCAGAACAUGCGAGCUUAAUUGCUGCACCCCUGACCAUUUUUUCAUUGGAUUUUCUUUUUUGCUAUUGAAUUGUAUGACUUGUUUAUAUAUUUUAGAUAUUAAUUCCUUAUCAGAUACAUGUUUUUGCAAAUAUUUUCUCCCAUUCUAUAGGUUUCUUUCUCAUUUUUUAGAUGAUUUCCUUCACUGUGCAGAGCUUUUUAGUUUGAUGUAGUCCCACUUGUUUAUUUUUCUUUUGUUGCUUUGCUUUGGUGUCAAAUCCAAAAAAAUCACUGCCAAGACCAAUGUGAGCUAACUGCUUCUGUUUUCUUCUGGGCAUUUUAUGGUUUCAAAUCUUACAUUUCAAGUCCUUAGUCCAUUUUGAGUUGAUUUGGGAGUAUAGUAUAAGACAGUGGUCCAGUUUCAUUCUUUUGCAUAUGGCUUUCUAGUUUCCCAGAACCAUUUAUUGAAGAGACUGUCCUUUCCCCAUUACAUAUUGUUGGCUCUUUUGUAGUAAAUUAGUUGACCGUAUAUGUGUGGAUUUAUUUCUGGGCUCUCUAUUCUGUUCCAUUGAUCUAUGUGUCUGUUUUUACAUCAAUACUAUACCAUUUUCAUUACUGUAGAUUUGUAGUAUAUCUUGAAAUCAGGAAGACUGAUGCUCCAGCACUGAUCUUCUUUCUCAAGAUCUCUUUGGCUAUCUGGAGUCUUCUCUGUUUUUAUAUAAAUUUUAUGGUUGCUUGCUCUAUUUCUACAUAAAUUGCCGUUGGAAUUUUAUUACCUGUUAAAUGGGGAUAAAAUACAUUUUCUAUCUAAUUGUUAGGAUUAUUAUAAAUAUCAGAGUAAAUAUUAUAUAAUUUCAGU
rnacentral:lncRNA from 1 species